AGUGAACGCUGGCGGUAGGCCUAACACAUUCAAGUCGAACGGCAGCACAGUAAGAGCUUGCUCUUACGGGUGGCGAGUGGCGGACGGGUGAGGAAUACAUCGGAAUCUACUUUUUCGUGGGGGAUAACGUGGGGAAACUUACGCUAAUACCGCAUACGACCUACGGGUGAAAGCAGGGGAUCUUCGGACCUUGCGCGAUCGAAUGAGCCGAUGUCGGAUUAGCUAGUUGGCGGGGUAAAGGCCCACCAAGGCGACGAUCCGUAGCUGGUCUGAGAGGAUGAUCAGCCACACUGGAACUGAGACACGGUCCAGACUCCUACGGGAGGCAGCAGUGGGGAAUAUUGGACAAUGGGCGCAAGCCUGAUCCAGCCAUACCGCGUGGGUGAAGAAGGCCUUCGGGUUGUAAAGCCCUUUUGUUGGGAAAGAAAAGCAGCAGGUUAAUACCCCGCUGUUCUGACGGUACCCAAAGAAUAAGCACCGGCUAACUUCGUG
rnacentral:rRNA from 1 species